rnacentral:rRNA from 1 species
GAUUAAGUUAUUAAGGGCGCACGGUGGAUGCCUUGGCACUAGAAGCCGAUGAAGGACGUUACUAACGACGAUAUGCUUUGGGGAGCUGUAAGUAAGCUUUGAUCCAGAGAUUUCCGAAUGGGGAAACCCAGCAUGAGUUAUGUCAUGUUAUCGAUAUGUGAAUACAUAGCAUAUCAGAAGGCACACCCGGAGAACUGAAACAUCUUAGUACCCGGAGGAAGAGAAAGAAAAUUCGAUUCCCUUAGUAGCGGCGAGCGAAACGGGAAGAGCCCAAACCAACAAGCUUGCUUGUUGGGGUUGUAGGACACUCUAUACGGAGUUACAAAGGACGACAUUAGACGAAUCAUCUGGAAAGAUGAAUCAAAGAAGGUAAUAAUCCUGUAGUCGAAAAUGUUGUCUCUCUUGAGUGGAUCCUGAGUACGACGGAGCACGUGAAAUUCCGUCGGAAUCUGGGAGGACCAUCUCCUAAGGCUAAAUACUCUCUAGUGACCGAUAGUGAACCAGUACCGUGAGGGAAAGGUGAAAAGCACCCCGGAAGGGGAGUGAAAUAGAACCUGAAACCGUGUGCUUACAAGUAGUCAGAGCCCGUUAAUGGGUGAUGGCGUGCCUUUUGUAGAAUGAACCGGCGAGUUACGAUUUGAUGCAAGGUUAAGCAGUAAAUGUGGAGCCGUAGCGAAAGCGAGUCUGAAUAGGGCGUUUAGUAUUUGGUCGUAGACCCGAAACCAGGUGAUCUACCCUUGGUCAGGUUGAAGUUCAGGUAACACUGAAUGGAGGACCGAACCGACUUACGUUGAAAAGUGAGCGGAUGAACUGAGGGUAGCGGAGAAAUUCCAAUCGAACCUGGAGAUAGCUGGUUCUCUCCGAAAUAGCUUUAGGGCUAGCCUCAAGUGAUGAUUAUUGGAGGUAGAGCACUGUUUGGACGAGGGGCCCCUCUCGGGUUACCGAAUUCAGACAAACUCCGAAUGCCAAUUAAUUUAACUUGGGAGUCAGAACAUGGGUGAUAAGGUCCGUGUUCGAAAGGGAAACAGCCCAGACCACCAGCUAAGGUCCCAAAAUAUAUGUUAAGUGGAAAAGGAUGUGGCGUUGCCCAGACAACUAGGAUGUUGGCUUAGAAGCAGCCAUCAUUUAAAGAGUGCGUAAUAGCUCACUAGUCGAGUGACACUGCGCCGAAAAUGUACCGGGGCUAAACAUAUUACCGAAGCUGUGGAUUGUCCUUUGGACAAUGGUAGGAGAGCGUUCUAAGGGCGUUGAAGCAUGAUCGUAAGGACAUGUGGAGCGCUUAGAAGUGAGAAUGCCGGUGUGAGUAGCGAAAGACGGGUGAGAAUCCCGUCCACCGAUUGACUAAGGUUUCCAGAGGAAGGCUCGUCCGCUCUGGGUUAGUCGGGUCCUAAGCUGAGGCCGACAGGCGUAGGCGAUGGAUAACAGGUUGAUAUUCCUGUACCACCUAUAAUCGUUUUAAUCGAUGGGGGGGCGCAGUAGGAUAGGCGAAGCGUGCGAUUGGAUUGCACGUCUAAGCAGUAAGGCUGAGUAUUAGGCAAAUCCGGUACUCGUUAAGGCUGAGCUGUGAUGGGGAGAAGACAUUGUGUCUUCGAGUCGUUGAUUUCACACUGCCGAGAAAAGCCUCUAGAUAGAAAAUAGGUGCCCGUACCGCAAACCGACACAGGUAGUCAAGAUGAGAAUUCUAAGGUGAGCGAGCGAACUCUCGUUAAGGAACUCGGCAAAAUGACCCCGUAACUUCGGGAGAAGGGGUGCUCUUUAGGGUUAACGCCCAGAAGAGCCGCAGUGAAUAGGCCCAAGCGACUGUUUAUCAAAAACACAGGUCUCUGCUAAACCGUAAGGUGAUGUAUAGGGGCUGACGCCUGCCCGGUGCUGGAAGGUUAAGAGGAGUGGUUAGCUUCUGCGAAGCUACGAAUCGAAGCCCCAGUAAACGGCGGCCGUAACUAUAACGGUCCUAAGGUAGCGAAAUUCCUUGUCGGGUAAGUUCCGACCCGCACGAAAGGCGUAACGAUUUGGGCACUGUCUCAACGAGAGACUCGGUGAAAUCAUAGUACCUGUGAAGAUGCAGGUUACCCGCGACAGGACGGAAAGACCCCGUGGAGCUUUACUGUAGCCUGAUAUUGAAAUUCGGCACAGCUUGUACAGGAUAGGUAGGAGCCUUUGAAACGUGAGCGCUAGCUUACGUGGAGGCGCUGGUGGGAUACUACCCUAGCUGUGUUGGCUUUCUAACCCGCACCACUUAUCGUGGUGGGAGACAGUGUCAGGCGGGCAGUUUGACUGGGGCGGUCGCCUCCUAAAAGGUAACGGAGGCGCUCAAAGGUUCCCUCAGAAUGGUUGGAAAUCAUUCAUAGAGUGUAAAGGCAUAAGGGAGCUUGACUGCGAGACCUACAAGUCGAGCAGGGUCGAAAGACGGACUUAGUGAUCCGGUGGUUCCGCAUGGAAGGGCCAUCGCUCAACGGAUAAAAGCUACCCCGGGGAUAACAGGCUUAUCUCCCCCAAGAGUUCACAUCGACGGGGAGGUUUGGCACCUCGAUGUCGGCUCAUCGCAUCCUGGGGCUGUAGUCGGUCCCAAGGGUUGGGCUGUUCGCCCAUUAAAGCGGUACGCGAGCUGGGUUCAGAACGUCGUGAGACAGUUCGGUCCCUAUCCGUCGUGGGCGUAGGAAAUUUGAGAGGAGCUGUCCUUAGUACGAGAGGACCGGGAUGGACAUACCUCUGGUGUACCAGUUGUCGUGCCAACGGCAUAGCUGGGUAGCUAUGUGUGGACGGGAUAAGUGCUGAAAGCAUCUAAGCAUGAAGCCCCCCUCAAGAUGAGAUUUCCCAACUUCGGUUAUAAGAUCCCUCAAAGAUGAUGAGGUUAAUAGGUUCGAGGUGGAAGCAUGGUGACAUGUGGAGCUGACGAAUACUAAUCGAUCGAAGACUUAAUCAA